rnacentral:misc_RNA from 1 species
UUCCACCAAGCCCAAGUCCAAGUUCAUUCCCUUGCACAUCACUCUUCCUCAUACUCACAUUCCCAAACCCUCCACCACCACCACCUAUCAUACUCUGCCCAUUCCUCCAACUCACACUGCUAUUACUCCUCAUCAACUUAGGAUUAAAACCACCACCCCUAACAUCCCCAUUCUUCUCCCCUCCUCCUCCUCCUCUAUACUCCUGCCACGACUCCGAAUACGACCUCUCCACCCCAUUCCCAUUCCCGUUCCCUCCACCCUCCUCCUCCUUACUUCCCCU